UACGUAGGUGGCAAGCGUUGUUCGGAAUUAUUGGGCGUAAAGGGCGCGUAGGCGGCUUUCUAAGUCGGGGGUGAAAUCCUGGAGCUCAACUCCAGAACUGCCUUCGAUACUGGAGAGCUUGAGUCCGGGAGAGGUGAGUGGAACUGCGAGUGUAGAGGUGAAAUUCGUAGAUAUUCGCAAGAACACCAGUGGCGAAGGCGGCUCACUGGCCCGGUACUGACGCUGAGGUGCGAAAGCGUGGGGAGCAAACAGG
rnacentral:rRNA from 1 species